CACCCUGUAGAAUCGAAUUUGUGUGAGUUCUGAGCCACAGAUUCGUCUCUAGGGGGGUA
rnacentral:pre_miRNA from 1 species